UUGGACUUUUAUUUGCCACAUGAACAGACUUCAGGACUGUAUUAGUAUUUUACUGUUAUUAUUGUUUUUUGUUUUGUUUUUGUUUCUUUUCUUCCUCUGACUGUAAAGGUUUCCGUUCGAUGCGGUAAAGUCAAAUGUCGUGAGGAGAACCCGGAACCAACAUUAUGGCCUCCGUUGGCUCGGACGGAUUUUGUUGUCGUACACAAACCAAAUCGGGCUGAAUUCAGCUACAUGUUUGGACGCGGAACUUACAAUUUUUGGCAAAAAAGACUCAUAAAAGCAUGGCUGUUUCUCUCACUUGACGCUGGAAUUGAUGUUGGGGAUCGAGGAGGUUUUGAGCGGACACGCAGCCGACAGACGCAAAGUUGUGGGACACGUGGACGGCUCUGCGCUACGAUGACUAGGACAACCUGCUUUUGGACAGCUUACAUGUUGGAUGACGAUGGUCUCCUUGUCGCUGCCUGGUGAAGUCGUCAGCCAGUGGGAAGAGAUUGCAGACCUAAGACAAAAUGUCAACUUGUGCUGCAAAUGUUUUUUGACAUGAGGUGAAACUCACCAGUGAUGAAAAGGGUGUGAAAUUUGUUUUCUGGGACUGUCAAGUGCUCGCACAUCUGCAUUGCCAGGACUCUGACCAUGUUCCCCAGCACCUGUGGAAAAACAACAACAAAUUUGGUAGAAGUAAAGACUGGAGUCAAGAGCAAAGAGCUUACCGUUAAAAGCGUCAACUUCAGUGUUGGAUGACAGGUCCACUUCACCAGACAGUCACUGAUGACAGUUUCCUUGUCUCCGGUCAUCGUGAGGAGAGCAUGGACCGGUGUGUCGUGACCCUGUUAAACAAAGACAUCCGUGAAUCAAACCUUUAUACCAAACAUGGUUUUUUGUAGCAAAUUGUUUGCAAUGAAACUUACAAGGAAAGGAUGUGUGGCUGAGCCCUUGCAGGAAGAACAACAAAUUUGCUAGAAGACUGGAGUCAAGAGCUUACCGUUAAAAGCGUCAACUUCAGUGUUGGAUGACAGGUCCACUUCACCAGACAGUCACUGACGACAGUUUCCUCGUCACCCGUCAUCGUGAGGAGAGCAUGGACCGGUGUGCCGUGACCCUGGAAAACAAACAAACAAAGACAUCAGACCUUUAUACCCAACAUGGUUUUUUUUUGUAGCAAAUUGUUUGCAAUGAAACUUACAGGGAAAGGAUGUGCAACUUGUUUUUUUGCUGCGACUGAGCCCUCACAGGAAGCUGAACAUGUUCCUCAGCCUGUGGAAGAACAACAACAAAUUUGGAAGAAGUAAAGACUGGAGUCAAGAGCAAAGAGCUUACCGUUAAAAGCUUCAACUUCAGUGUUGGAUGACAGGUCCACUUCACCAGGUAGUCACUGACGGCAGUUUCCUUGUCGCUGUUGAUAGUCACUGGUCAUCGUGAGGAGAGCGUGGACCGGUGUGUCGUGACCCUGGAAAACAAAGACAUCAGUGAAUCAAACCUUUAUAUCCAACAGGUUUUUUGUAGAAAAUUGUUUGCAAUGAAACUUACAACGAAAGGAUGUGCAACUUGUUUUUUCUGCAACUGAGACCUCGCAGGAAGCUGAAGAUGUUCCUCAGCCUGUGGAAGAACAACAACACGUUUUUGGGCAGAGAAAAGUCACGAUUGUGGAGAGCAUUGUGAGCGUACCAAAGUUGGCUCCUCAAAUUCAUCCCCCACUUUGGUUGUCAUCACCUGGAUGUUGUCCUUCAGCUGAGGAAGAGAAGCGCACCUGGAUGAGAGGAAGGCCUGGACCGGAAGCCAGCCUGCAUGCAGAGUCAAAACCAAAAAGCAGAUCAAGUCAGACCUUAACGAAGGAGAUUGCUUCAUGAGUCAGUCCAAGGUGCGUGGUGAUGCUGGACUCAGGUUCUCCAAGACGGGCGACAUUUCUUUGACCAGUUGAAAUUUACUGUGCAAAACAAGACAAGUCUUAUUUUAUUAAAAUACCAUUGAAGCUGAAUUAAAUUUAUCAUGAACAUGCAUACUUUCUCAUUGAGGACCCCUUGUAGCUCUGCAUGACGUCAACAAGAGGCCGUCAAGACUGCACACAAAAAGCAGGAUGUGAGGAGUGGUUGCUGCAAGUCACCCUCCUUCAGAAGAUUGCCUUUAACACAGAUGUGCAUGCAGUAGGAAAAUAGUCAACUGAGGCCAGAAUUUCUAAAACAAAGACAUCUGUUAAGUUUUGCCAUACAGCACAUUUGACAAGAGAUGAAACCCACCAGCAAUGAAGAGGAUGUGACUCGUUUCUCUCUGGGACUUUGUCCAAGCGCUCACAGGAAGCGGAGCAUGAAGGAAGGAAAAACAUUUGAACAACAUUGUGAUGAUUGUUCAGUGUAUUCACAGAGUGGACUGUCAAGUGUGUGUGGACACCAGUGCAAACAUCUCAAACUUGUCCAACUCCUCAGGCUGCUCCACAGUUUGGCUUCAGCAUCUUCUGAUGUGGUCAUCCAGCUGAAUUAAAAUAAGUUGCACUUGAGCCGACUGAAGCCGGAAUGACAGUUUCCUCAUUGCUGAUGACCAUCACCAUCAAGACGAGCGCGUCGACCAAUGUGUCGUGACCUCCCUGAAGAAGCCAAAAAGACAUCGGUGCAGGAUCUUGGGGGCCAAGGUGGUUCUCUGCCACAAUGGAACUUGUCCUGGAAGCCACCCUGCAUGCAGACCUCGUACACGAUCUUGUUACUCACGCAGCGCUGGAUGAAGUCAAAAGGAUGUCAGUCUUUGACGCAGAUCAAGUCAGACCUUGAAGCAGGAAAUCUGCUUCACUCGUCGGUUCAAGCAGGGUUCAGGUUCUCCAGGGCCAAGAUGCUUUUGCACCACCUAGUGGACAUGAGCGAAGAGUAGUGAAGAGUGUUCAAACCCAGCGAGGGCCAGCUGCAGCCUCAAAGUCCAGCAUCUCAGUCCUCAGGCAGCGGCGCUUCAAGUGGAGGUUGUCAUAACUGCACACAGAAGCAGGAUGUAAGGAAUGUUUGCUGCAAAGGCACAAUCUUCUACCAUCACCAUUGGAGAUGAAUGCAUUUUGGGUGUUGUGACAUGUUCCCACCUUAAUGAUGUCAUCACAGGAAUAAAUGUUAGCUUUUGCCACAUGGUAGCUCAUCA